rnacentral:rRNA from 1 species
ACCUACGGGGGGCAGCAGUGGGGGAUAUUGCACAAUGGGGGAAACCCUGGUGCAGCGACGCCGCGUGGGUGAAGAAGCGCCUCGGCGCGUAAAGCCCUGUCAGCAGGGAAGAAAAUGGCGGUACCUGAAGAAGAAGCCCCGGCUAACUACGUGCCAGCAGCCGCGGUAAUACGUAGGGGGCAAGCGUUAUCCGGAUUUACUGGGUGUAAAGGGGGCGCAGACGGCGAUGCAAGCCAGGAGUGAAAGCCCGGGGCCCAACCCCGGGACUGCUCUUGGAACUGCGGGGCUCGAGUGCAGGAGGGGCG